rnacentral:rRNA from 1 species
UACGUAGGGUGCGAGCGUUAAUCGGAAUUACUGGGCGUAAAGAGUGCGCAGGCGGUUCGCUAAGACAGAUGUGAAAUCCCCGGGCUCAACCUGGGACCUGCAUUUGUGACUGCAUCGCUAGAGUACGGUAGAGGGGGGAUGGAAUUCCCGGUGUAGCGGUGAAAUGCGUAGAUAUCGGGGAGGAACACCUGUGGCGAAGGCCGGGCCCCCUGGUCGGAUACUGACGCUGAGACGCGAAAGCGUGGGGAGCAAACAGG